rnacentral:RNase_P_RNA from 1 species
CCCUUUCACCCUUACCGCCGCCCCCCUCGGGGCGCGGCGGUAAGGGUGAAAGGGUGGUGUAAGAGACCACCGCGGCCUCGGUGACGAGGUCGGCACGGCAAACCCCACCGGGAGCAAGGUCAGACAGGGAACGUUCGAGGGCGCCGGCCCGAGUUCCCGGGUGGACCGCUGGAGGUCGUCGGCAACGGCGAUCGUAGAGGGAUGGCUGCCGAUCACAGAACCCGGCUUACAGGCCGACUGGUCCA